rnacentral:rRNA from 1 species
AGGACGAACGCUGGCGGCGUGCUUAACACAUGCAAGUCGAACGGGGUCCAACUCUUCGCAAGAAGAGGGAAGACCUAGUGGCGAACGGGUGCGUAACACGUGAGGAACCUGCCCCGAAGACCGGGACAACACCGGGAAACCGGUGCUAAUACCGGAUGUCCCCAUCGAAUCGCAUGGUUUGAUGAGGAAAUGGAUUCCGCUUUGGGAGGGCCUCGCGGCCUAUCAGCUUGUCGGUGAGGUAACGGCUCACCAAGGCUUCGACGGGUAGCUGGUCUGAGAGGACGACCAGCCACACUGGGACUGAGACACGGCCCAGACUCCUACGGGAGGCAGCAGUGGGGAAUCUUGCGCAAUGGGCGAAAAGCCUGACGCAGCAACGCCGCGUGCGGGAUGAAGGCCUUCGGGUUGUAAACCGCUUUCAGUAGGACGAAAUUGACGGUACUGCAGAAGAAGCCCGGCCAACUACGUGCCAGCAGCCGCGU